rnacentral:rRNA from 1 species
UACGUGAAACUGCUCAGAGGUAAACGGGUGGGCCCUCGAAAUCCUGUGGCGGGAGGAUUCAGUCUGGAGUUGCCGUCGCGCUGGUCGGAAAAUCAAAGUAGGGCUUCCCAUGAUCGGGGCCGUCCGACCGCGAGCUUCGUUCAGGCCAGACGCAUUUGACUCCCGCCCUAAGGACGCCGCAACCGGUCGGGAAGUGCAAACGUGACGUCCUGGAAGUUGGGCAACGGCAGGUGGCCGGUGGCGCUCGAUAUGUGUGCCGCCGGUUGUUAGCCGGCUCAUCGGUGGACCGUCUCCCGACCGAGGUAUCGAUAUGCCCUUCGGGGUGUUCGCGCCUCCUCCUCAAAGAAGUCGGGACGUGCAGUCGCGAGCGAAGGCAGUCGCGCGGCCGCACCAUUCAUUGGUGGGCCAGCGUAAAGCCGGCGCCGUCGGUGACUGAGGACCCGUCGGAGGUCGGAGGUUAGCGGCGAGUAGGUCGGUCACCCACCCGACCCGUCUUGAAACACGGACCAAGGAGUCUAACAUGUGCGCGAGUCAAUGGGUCUCGAAUAAGCCCAGAGGCGCAAUGAAAGCGAAGGUCUGCACAACGCAGACCGAGUCGGGAUCCCCCAUCUCUGGUGGGGGCGCACCGACGACCCGUCCUAUGCCGUUUACGGUUUGGGCGGAGUGUGAGCGUACACGUUGGGACCCGAAAGAUGGUGAACUAUGCCCGGACAGGACGA